rnacentral:tRNA from 1 species
CAGAGAAUAGUUUAAUAAAAAUAUUAACUUUGGAAGUUAGUGAUAAAGAUUCUUCUUUUUCUCUGA